CAUGCAAGUUGAGNGUAAGCCNUUCGGGGGUACACGAGCAGCGAACGGGUGAGUAACGCGNGGUAAUCUACCUAGAGGUGGGGGAUAGCCUCGGGAAACCCGGGGGUAAUACCGCAUGAGUCCCGACUGACACAAGUCUAACGGGGGAAAGGCGGGGAUCUUCGGACCUGUCGCCUCUAGAUGAGCCCGCGUCCGAUUAGCUUGUUGGUGGGGUAAUGGCCUACCCAAGGCAUCGAUCGGUAGCCGGCCUGAGAGGGUGAACGGCCACAUUGGGACUGAGACACGGCCCAGACUCCUACGGGAGGCAGCAGUGGGGAAUUUUGGGCAAUGGGGGAAACCCUGACCCAGCGACGCCGCGUGGAGGAUGAAGGCCUUCGGGUUGUAAACUCCUGUCAGGUGGGAAGAAGAGCUUUGUGGCUAAUAUCCACAAGGAAUUGACGGUACCACCAAAGGAAGCCCCGGCUAACUCCGUGCCAGCAGCCGCGGUAAUACGGGGGGGGCAAGCGUUAUUCGGAUUUACUGGGCGUAAAGCGCACGUAGGUGGCGAUGUAAGUCACAGGUGAAAGCCCUCGGCUCAACCGAGGAACUGCCUGCGAAACUGCAUUGCUUGAGUCCGGGAGGGGGGAGCGGAAUUCCAAGUGUAGCGGUGAAAUGCGUAGAUACUUGGAGGAACACCGGUGGCGAAGGCGGCUCCCUGGACCGGUACUGACACUGAGGUGCGAAAGCGUGGGUAGCAAACAGGAUUAGAUACCCUGGUAGUCC
rnacentral:rRNA from 1 species